GACAGAGGUGCAAACGUUGUUCGGAAUUACUGGGCGUAAAGCGUGUGUAGGCGGCCAUGUAAGUCGGAUGUGAAAGGCCCCGGGCUUAACCCGGGAAGUGCAUUCGAUACUGCGUGGCUUGAGUAUCGGAGAGGUUGGUGGAAUUCUCGGUGUAGAGGUGAAAUUCGUAGAUAUCGAGAGGAACACCGGUGGCGAAGGCGGCCAACUGGACGAAUACUGACGCUGAGACACGAAAGCGUGGGGAGCAAACAGG
rnacentral:rRNA from 1 species